AAUUUUAAUGUUUCUGCAAAUCGAAGCCCUAAUUUUUCAAGUGCAUAGUUUCGACAAAUUUGUUAUUUCGCAAACCCAAAAGCCUUUCUUUAAAUUUCACGAUUUUGUUUUGAAAGAUUCUGGCUUUUGUUUGGGUUCAUGUUUCUAAAGAUUUGUUUUCAGUUUUCUGAAACAGAAACCCUAAAAUCAAUGAUUUUCUUUUAAAAGCAACGAAUUUGUUUAAAGUUUUAAGCUUUCUUAACCCCAAAAGAAAGGGACGACACAUUACAUGAUUGUGUUAUGUCCGGUUUCUAAAUUGGGAAAAUUGUCCCGAUGUUGUUGCCUCCUAAGUAAAGACUUGUCAAAUUGUUCUUAAGUAAAGACUUGCUGGCUGGGCAGCAUGAUAUAUCGACUUCAAUAAUCUGCAUAGACCUGUCUUUUUUAAGGCUUGUCUAAUAAUGAUGUCCCAAGAUUGAUAAAUUCAAAUCAAUGAUCUGCUUAAGUUCUAUAUCUUCUUGAGCUGGGAUAUCUUUAUCAAUGAUCUGCUUAUUGAUGGAGGGAUAAGGAGAUAAAUAUUCUUUGAUAAGGAUUGUCUAAUAAUGACAAAUUCAAUGAUCUGCUAAAGCUCUAUAUCUUCUUGAGCUGGGAUAUCUUAAUCAAUGAUCUGCUUAAGCUCUAUAUCUUGUUGAGCUGGGUUAUCUUUAUAUAAGAUUCAAUAAUCUGCUUAUUGACGAGGGAAAUGGAGAUUAAUGUUCUUUAAUAAAGCUUGUUUGCAUAACCAAAGUUCAUACUGGGCUGGGACAGUGUGGUUAAGUACGGAGAUCUCUCAAAUUUCUGCAUAGAUCUGCCUUGACAGGAGGUAAGUGUUCUUUAUUGAGGCUUAUCUAAUAUCGAUGGUCUGAGAUUGAAAAAUUCAAUACUCUGCUUUAAAUACUCAAGAAUCUGCAUAUUUGAUAGGAGAUAAGUGUUCUUUAUUGAGGCUAGUUUAAUAACGAUGGCCUGAGAUUGAAAACUUCAAUUCUCUGCUUCAAAUACUCAAAAAUCAGCAUAUUCAUAGGAGGUAAUGUUCUUUAUUGAGGCUUGUCUAAUAACGAUGGCCUGAGAUUAAAAACUUCAAAUACUCAAGAAUCUGCAUAUUCAUAGGAGGUAAUGUUCUUUAUUGAGGCUUGUCUAAUAACGAUGGCCUGAGAUUGAAAACUUCAAUACUCUGCUUCAAAUACUCAAAAAUCUGCAUAUUUGAUAGGAGGUAAGUGUUCUUUAUUGAGGCUUGUCUAAUAACGAUGGCCUGUGAUUGAUAAAUUCAAUUCUCUGCUUCAAAUAUUCAAGAAUCUGCAUAUUUGAUAGGAGGUAAGUGUUCUUUAUUGAGGCUAGUUUUUUAACGAUGGCCUGAGAUUGAAAACUUCAGUUCUCUGCUUCAAAUACUCAAGAAUCUUCAUAUUCAUAGGAGGUAAUGUUCUUUAUUGAGGCUUGUCUAAUAAUGAUGGCCUGAGAUUGAAAACUUCAAUACUUUGCUUCAAAUACUCAAGAAUCUGCAUAUUCAUAGGAGGUAAUGUUCUUUAUUGAGGCUUAUCUUAUAACGAUGGCCUCAGAUUGAUCAACAUUCUACUUUAAAUACUCAAGAAUGUGCAUAUUGACAGGAGGUAAUGUUCUUUAUUUAGGCUUGUCUAAUAACGAUGGCCUGAGAUUCAAAACUUCAAUACUAUGCUUCAAAUACUCAAGAAUCGGCAUAUUUGAUAGGAGUUAAGUGUUCUUUAUUGAGGCUUGGCUAACAACGAUUACCUGAGAUUGAUAAAUUCAAUUAUCUGCUUCAAAUACUCAAGAAUCUCCAUAUUCAUAGGAGGUAAUGUUCUUUAUAUAGGCUUGUCUAAUAACGAUAGCCUGAGAUUGAAAACUUCAAUACUCUGCUUCAAAUACUCAAGAAUCUCCAUAUUCAUAGGAGGUAAUGUUCUUUAUAUAGGCUUGUCUAAUAACGAUAGCCUGAGAUUGAAAACUUCAAUACUCUGCUUCAAAUACUCAAGAAUCUCCAUAUUCAUAGGAGGUAAUGUUCUUUAUAUAGGCUUGUCUAAUAACGAUAGCCUGAGAUUGAAAACUUCAAUACUCUGCUUCAAAUACUCAAGAAUCUCCAUAUUCAUAGGAGGUAAUGUUCUUUAUAUAGGCUUGUCUAAUAACGAUAGCCUGAGAUUGAAAACUUCAAUACUCUGCUUCAAAUACUCAAGAAUCUGCAUAUUUGAUAGGAGGUAAUGUUCUUUAUUGAGGCUUGUCUAAUAACGAUGGCCUGAGAUUUAUAAAUUCAAUACUUUGCUUCAAAUACUCAAGAAUCUGCAUAUUUGAUAGGAGGUAAUGUUCUUUAUUGAGGCUUGUCUAAUAACGAUGGCCUGAGAUUAAAAAAUUCAAUUCUCUGCUUCAAAUACUCAAGAAUCUGCAUAUUGGCAGGAGGUAAGUGUUCUUUAUUGAGGCUUGUCUAAUAACGAUGGCCUGAGAUUAAAAAAUUCAAUUCUCUGCUUCAAAUACUCAAGAAUCUGCAUAUUGGCAGGAGGUAAGUGUUCUUUAUUGAGGCUUGUCUAAUAACGAUGGCCUAAGAUUGAAAAUUUCAAUUCUCUGCUUCAAAUACUCAAGAAUCUGCAUAUUCAUAGGAGGUAAUGUUCUUUAUUAAGGCUUUUCUAUUGAAGUCUGAUUGGGAAAUUCAAUAUUCUGCUUAGAUCUGCCAUUAAAAAGGCUUGUCGAAAUAGGUCUCAAAUUUCAAGAAAUUCAAGUUGGGACUUCAUGAAUAGCAUUUUUUUCUCCUUUGUGCCUAGCUCUUGCAGCUCAUCUGUUCAGCGAAGGCACAUCAUUGUGCAACGCUUGAUGGAUUCGAGGCUCGAGCAAAUCACUUAAGAGAGAGAGAAGAAGGUAGAGAAUGUUCAGAUAUCUGCUUAGUACAAGAAUAUGACGUCUUGGUAAGGAGGUAUGUAUUCCAACUACAUUGUACUGCAUAUUUACUUAUGUUACAUUAACCCAGCGCAAUGUUGGAUUUUGGCAUUGGUCUAAGAGCAAUGGUAAGUGAUUUUUUUCUUUCUUAUGUGCAUUUCUUACAAAUGUUAUAUCAUUAUAGAAUAAACCAAUCUCUGCGUACCUUAAUUUGUUCUAAUUAACCACAUCUUUUGGUGACUUGUUCUUAACAGGGAUAUUGCAAAAAUUCCAAUUUGUAGAUUCUAUCUUUGCCGCUUCUCAUCAGCAAUUUUUGUCUCUUGAAAAGAAAGCUCUGGUUUCUCAGCAUGAGUUCGUUUAAGGUUUGAGUCAGAGACCAAAUGACUUUUUUUUCCUUGUAAUGAUUCAUAGAUUGUUCCUCGUGAAGUUCAGAUACUAAGCGAAAAGAGAGGCAAGUUGCUGGAUCUCAAAUAAGGACAUUUGGUGGCACUGAUACAUGAAUAAUCUAUCUUUGGUACAUGUUCUUUUUCUCUGUUUUCAAUAUCUUAAUGUUGUUGCUUGGAUUUUAAUUCUUUGUAGUACUAGAAUAAGAUGUGGUGUUGGCAAUGUCCAAGUCUUAAACCAAAAUUCAGCCGCUUUUGAUCAGGAACUAAAGGUUGCUAUAUCCCCAAGUCCACUCUAAGGUACUAGUACUACUGACUUUCUGAUCCAUUUGUGUUCUUAAAGCUUAUCGACUUCUUUGAAACUAAAGACAUGAUUUGAGCUUUUUCGGUGCACGCCGUCUUCAAUACCAGUUUUUGCAAGUAAGUAAUCCUUAAGUUUGCUACUUCGUUUGAUAUAUGUUAAUGCAUGCAUUUUUCAGAAUUUUCAUCUUCAGAGCAAAACUUUGGUGUACUUCAGCGGUACACUCUUCUCUUUCUAAGGUAUGAUUUAGACGUGUUUUUUUUAGGUUGAUUAUUUGCUUUAGGAUUAAAUAAAACCUCUAUUAAGCUAACAAAUCUUUGAUGAUAACUAACUAAUAUAAACAUAAACGCAUACACGAAGGUGAACACAUACACGAAGGUGAACACAUACACUAAACGCUAACAUAAUUGCAUAUAUGUUGAAUUCGUCACUCUCACUUUAGUUUCAGGUUUGUUUUCACUCACUUUUUCUCUGUUCUUUCUUCAAAACGUUUUUCUUCUUAACACACCUCCAUUUUCAUUAAUUUUUCUUUAACCUUACACACACAUACAUAUAGUACUUCUUUUCUAGCUACACACACUUGCACUUACAUUUACACUUUUACCUUACCUCUAGAUGCUAGGUUCCAACCCACACAAACAACCCUUAACUACUCCCUUAGACUACAACACCAACACACUAAAUCACUUGGGCCUAACUUGAUCUGUAGGCCCAUUAGUCUUAUUACAACAAAAUAGCUUGAAGCCCAACUUCUUCUUCUCGUUAACUUCUCUCUGUCUUCUCCGAUUCCUUCUUCUUCUUCUUCUUCUACUUCUGUAUUUCUUUGUCCUUCAUCAUCCUCUUAUGAUUCUCGUCUUCUUUUACUUUUUCAGGAACAAUAAAGGAGUCAACCUCAACAAUAUACACGUAAGUGAACACAUACACUUAACGCAAACAUAAUUAUUGUGCUCACAAAAAAAAAAAAAAAA